UACGGAGGGGGGCUAGCGUUGUUCGGAAUUACUGGGCGUAAAGCGCACGUAGGCGGACCUGCAAGUCGGGGGUGAAAGCCCGAGGCUCAACCUCGGAACUGCCUUCGAUACUGCGGGUCUCGAGUCCGGGAGAGGUGAGUGGAAUUCCUAGUGUAGAGGUGAAAUUCGUAGAUAUUGGGAGGAACACCAGUGGCGAAGGCGGCUACCUGGACCGGUUCUGACGCUGAUGCGCGAAAGCGUGGGUAGCAAACGGG
rnacentral:rRNA from 1 species